GGGUAUAUGGAAACUGUACUUUCUACUCAAUUUUGCUGUGAAACUAAAACUGCUCUAAAAAAUAAAGAAUAAACCAAAACAUGUAGUGAG